rnacentral:rRNA from 1 species
UUACAGAUGGGCCCGCGGUGCAUUAGCUAGUUGGUAGGGUAAUGGCCUACCAAGGCAACGAUGCAUAGCCGACCUGAGAGGGUGAUCGGCCACACUGGGACUGAGACACGGCCCAGACUCCUACGGGAGGCAGCAGUAGGGAAUCUUCCGCAAUGGACGAAAGUCUGACGGAGCAACGCCGCGUGUAUGAAGAAGGUUUUCGGAUCGUAAAGUACUGUUGUUAGAGAAGAACAAGGAUAAGAGUAACUGCUUGUCCCUUGACGGUAUCUAACCAGAAAGCCACGGCUAACUACGUGCCAGCAGCCGCGGUAAUACGUAGGUGGCAAGCGUUGUCCGGAUUUAUUGGGCGUAAAGCGCGCGCAGGCGGUCUUUUAAGUCUGAUGUGAAAGCCCCCGGCUUAACCGGGGAGGGUCAUUGGAAACUGGAAGACUGGAGUGCAGAAGAGGAGAGUGGAAUUCCACGUGUAGCGGUGAAAUGCGUAGAUAUGUGGAGGAACACCAGUGGCGAAGGCGACUCUCUGGUCUGUAACUGACGCUGAGGCGCGAAAGCGUGGG